CAUUCAAAGAGGGCGUAAUAGCUCACGGGUCGAGUGAUCCUGCGCCGAAGAUUUCCGGGGCGAAAACUUACCACCUAAGAUACGGCAUCAGUAAUUUGGGGUAGGGGUGCUUCCCAGACGGGUUGAAGCAUGACCGUAAGGACAUGUGGACAGUAUGGGAGUGAGACUGUUGGCAUGAGUAGCGAGAUGUGGGUGAGAAUCCCCCAGGCCGUAAACCCAAGGUUUCCAGGGGAAGGUUCGUCCGCCCUGGGUUAGUCGGGACCUAAGCUGAGGCCGAAAGGCGUAGGUGAUGGACAAAAGGUUGAUAUUCCUGUACUAACGAUAACCGGUGGAGGGCAGGGAUGACACAGUAGGAUAAGCUAAGCACACGGGUGGAGAUGUGUGCCCACACAGUGAGGCAGUCAAAGUAGGCAAAGCCGCUUUGAUAAUGCUGGGAGGUGAUGGGG
rnacentral:rRNA from 1 species